GAGCGAGUCCCUUGCUGUCUCAGCCUCAGCUUUCCACAUCGAUAGAAUGGGAACAAUACACACAACCCUAGCCGCCCCCACCCCCGGCUCACAACACCGUGAAGAUCAAAUGGGAUAGUGUGUACGAACUGGAUCGCACUCUGCACGACUGAGUAUUUUCAGGGAAACGGGGUACCAGAGGUCUUGGUCCCCCUGCUCUCACUGGGCUGUGCAGCACCUCACGGCCACCCCCAGGCGAGAGGCCCAGGCAAGGAGGGAGUUUCCUGAAACUUAGACUGUGGGUUCCUUGGAGGCAGGUGCUUAAUCCUCCUCUCCUGUGCAGAGCCCUCCCUGCCCGAAGGCCACCCCGGCCCCACUCCGCCCUGGCUAAUAUCAGGCAGUCCCCUAAUCUCCGUCUCCUCCGCAAUUCAACCUGCUGUCUAACCAGGCUCUUUUGAAGUUCACCUGGAGACUGACACAAAAAGUCUUUCCCAUUCCUCCCUCCUUGGACCUCGCUUACUCUACCCCCUCCCACAUCUUCUUCCUCUCAACAAGCUUACAAAGGAGAAACGGAAGUGGUGGAAAACGAGUGAAAAAUCUCCAGUGGGCAAGGUUUGAACAUUCCCACCUUGGGAAAUUCCCACUGGAAAUCCUCCCUGAGGACUGACCAUGAUCAUUGUGGCUGUAGCGUCAGCCCCAUUUCCCUUAGGUUAUUUCCACAGUGGAGACAGCCUGCAAAUGGGCAGGAGGACGGGAGAAUAUGAGAUCAACACGGACAGCCGGGGUAAAGGAAGCACAAAGUUCAAGAUAGGCUUGUAGCCCUCUAGUAUCGUAUUCUUCAUGAGCCAUUAAAUCAGAUAAGUGAUUUAAGCACACACCUUUACCUCCUUCCUCCCUUCAGUUCGCCCCUCCCUCCCCAGCUUCCCACCUCCCUUGACUACCCUUAAACAGCCCCCCUCCAUAUGCUGCAAAGCUCACAUUCCAAGGGAAGCCUACCUGAUUUUGCUUUAAGUUCUUCCCCGUGAGGAGCUCUCUGAGCUGCAGGCUGCCCUGAGAGAGAGAGACCCAGAGCCCUUCCCUAGGCACCCAGGGGCCCCUGGGAGGUAUGGCUCGUAUGAGGAAAGGUUAAGAAUUCAGGACUUUUCAGCUUUCCCUUCUUCUUGGGAAUCAUCCUCUUUCCCCACUCCAAGGAAACCUGGGCUGGCUCGGGUGGGGUGAUGGAGGGGAAGAGUGUGACAUAAGGACCACAGAUGGCCUGGACGUUUGACCAGGUCCUGGGGAGAAACUGCCUGGGUAUGUAACUCCAAACCCAGCUCUCUCGAAUUUAAGUUCUGGAGUGAGGUGUUCUGCAGCCAGACCUUUGGAGGCUGUGUGUGUGUGUGUGUGUGUGUGUGUGUGUGUGUGUGUGUGUGGGGGUAGAGGGCAGGAGGAAAAACCAAAAUGAGAUGGCUUGGAGCUUAGGGGCAUCCCCUACAUUUCCAGGAGGAAUCAAGGGACACAGGAUCCAGGAACCCCAAUGCAAUGGCAGAUUAGGGUCUUCCCCUCCCCCAACCAUGAGCUUGCUUUUUCUCUUCCUGCAGCCCACGAUGUCCUCGAUUGGCUUAGAGAUCACAGGUCAUUCAGAGAAGUACCUGGGCCCACUUAUUCCAGCUUCUGCCAAGGUGGGCUUUCAGAUGUUCCCUCAGGGUCUUAGGUAAUCUGACUCCCAAUCUGCCUGCUGAGGCAGAUUUCUCUGCCCAGGUGUGGGGAAGAAAUGCCAGAGUCUGAUGGCCCCCAGAACUCUCUCACCCGCCAUUGCCCUGGGAAUCUAGGUGAGCCUCACUUUGAUUGUGUUUUAUCUCCUGUCUUCAGGCUGCACUUUCUCAAUGGGUAAGGAAAGGUGUGAAAUUGUUGCCUCUAUCUCAGGAGCAAAGACUCGAUUUCUACACCUUCCCUCCAAAGAGUCCUGUUCCUCCAGCCUAUUCCUCCUUAUUUCAUGUGCAUGCUGUGCCCCCUUUCCAGAAGACCCCAGUGCUGUAUUUUCCUGGAUCUCCCUUUCUCUGGCUAGAGAGUGCUGGCCAGCAAGGGGGCUCAUUUUUUGGAAGGGGAUCUGGCGAAAACUCCCUCAGGAACCAGCUCUUCCCAAACCCCCACUUGCCUUGGAAAUAGGGGCCCAAACCCAAGUCCCCUGGAACUCAACUCACAGCGUGUGGAGAGGAGAGUAGCCGGCAGCAGAGACCCCUGUGGGGGUAGCGUCCAUGCCCCUGACACCGCCUCCCCCCCACCCCAGCCCCCUUGGAAGGUGGGAGCCGCAGGCACCGCUGUUUCUCCUAAAUGUAGCGGCAGCUCUGACUAGGACUUGCUAUCUGUGUCAUCCGCACUUCCCAGGCUCCCCUGCUCCUCUCCUGUUUCCACAGCAACCAGUCUGGCGACAGCUCUAGAGCAUCCCCCUCCCCUCCCCAGUCCUGGGUACCACUAGAGGCUGAUCCAUACGCCAUAGCUAUUUUUAGCCAAAGUUCCUCCUCCUGGACAACUCAGAGCUCGCCUCCUCACCCCCUCAGGGAAAAAAAAAAAAAAAAAAAAAAAAAAGAAAAGCUAGCAUGCUGGCUCUUUCCUAAGAAGCUCCUUGCUCUGGGAAAAUACAGGCCUUGAUGUGUUUGGGAAUAAGGUAUUUGGUUUCCUAGGGAUUCACCUCCAGCCAGGCUUCUGGGUGAAUGUGCUGCUCUCGGGUCAGGCCUGCCAUCACAGUCUCCGUUUUUGGAGAGGUCACCCUGAUCCAGAAGAAGGUAGCUAGAGGGAAAAGAGAUCCACCCAAGGAAGGGAGGUAGGGUCAGAGGUUCUAAUCUUUGUCACUGAUUUGCGAUGUGACCCAUAGCAAUCACUUCACUUCCCUCAGCCACAGUCGCUCCAUCUUUCACAAGAUGUGGAUAUGUGCAAAUACCCCUUUCUGCCUACUUUACAGGGUGUGCAGAUCGAAUGGGGCAAUAUAAAUAGAAGGGCUUUGAGGUGUAGUUUCUUAACAGCAAAAGGUCUAGAAACAACCCAAAUGUCCAACAGAGAGAAAAGGCUAGUUUAGGGCUUACUAACUCUUCAUUCAACAAAUUUUUGUGGAGCCCACGUGCCAGGUAAUGUGCUAGGUGGGGCUGGUUACAGAAAUGGAUAAGUCCCUGCCCACCAUGGAGCUCAUGGUCCAGUGGGGGAGAAAGGUCCAUAAGCACAGAAUACUAACACUACUACUAAGAAUUGACUGAGCAUCAGCUCUGAGCUAGACACACACCUUAUUCAGCAACCCUGGGCGAUACCUUAUGAGACAGGUAUUAUUUUCUCUAUUUAUAGAUGAGAAAAUUAAAACUGAAAAAGAUUAAGUGAUUUACCAAAUGUCACAGAGUUGGAUAUCGGCAGAGAAGUAGUCACACUCAUACACCUGUGUCACACCCCUAUGCUCCGCUCCCUUGGUAAUGCAAUAUUUGUGGCAAAGCAAUUUAAUCAGUUACUAUGUUCAUAUAUGUAAAUGUGCAUGCAGGCAUGCUGCUACAUAAAAACCAGAACAUGAAAGUAUUCUUUUUAUUUUUGGCCGCAGCACCACACGUCUUGCAGGAUCCCAGCUCCCCAACCACUGAUCAAACCUGUGCCCCCUGCGGUGGAAGCGUGGAGUCCUAACCACUGGACCACCAGGGAAGUCCCCAAAGUGUUCUUAUAAGCUGAUCAUAACUGUAUAGAAAUAGCUUUAGGAACACUGAUAAAAAUCAGGAAAAAAUAUUGGAGAAAUGGAAAUACUUCAAUGUAUAUUUUCCCCAGGGAAAUAAUUAAAAGCAGAGAGUAGGGGCUUCCCUGGUGGCGCAGUGGUUGAGAGUCCGCCUGCCGAUGCAGGGGACACGGGUUCGUGCCCCGGUCCGGGAAGAUCCCACGUGCCGCGGAGCGGCUGGGCCCAUGAGCCGUGGCCGCUGAGCCUGCGCGUCCGGAGCCUGUGCUCCGCAACGGGAGAGGCCACAACAGUGAGAGGCCCGCGUACCGCACAAAAAAAAAAAAAAAAAAAAAAGCAGAGAGUGGUAGACGAAUGCCAGGUGUUGCUAGUAUCAGCAUUAUUAUACCUAAGAUAUUGAUCAGUUCUCCAGCUGCCUUAAAGUUGGAACAGGAAGAUGUGAGCUAGAGAAGCAGGACGAUGUAGAAAUGGAUACCAGCAGGUUAGAAGUUCCUGGAAUGGCCUGGCAAGGUGGAAAAGGUGGUGCUGAGUAAUAUAGUCUCAGGAGGCAGUGUCCUGGGUUCAAGUCCCAACUCUGUCCCCUAUUAGCUGGGUGACUUUGAGCAAGUUACUUAACCUCUCUGACCAGUUUCUUCAUCUAAGAACUGAGAACAGCUGUAUCAUCCAUCUCUGGGGGAUUGUCAUGAGGAUUAUAUGAGGCAGUGGUGGCACAUUGUAAGUACUCAGUAGAUGCUGGCUAUGGUCUUCCUUCUCAUCAUCAUCGUCUUCAUCCCAGGCAUCUCCUGAAAUCUCCACCUACCCUGUGCCACCUUCCUCUGUUCUGGUGCCACCCAGUGAGACCUGCAGGGGGCACUCCUGGUACGCUGCCCUCCUCUCCCAGCCCUCUCGCCUGUGUUUCUUGUUCCAAGUGGAAAUAUCGAGUUUUCAGCCUGAGAUUGGCAUCAGGAGGGCUGUUAAAGCCCCAGUCAACAUCCCCGUCUCCUGGGCCUGGCCCUGUCACCUGAGCCUUGGGACUGCUAGCCUGCCCUUCUCUGUCCUGCCAAGCAGCUGCUCACGUUGGUUCCACUGUGCCAGGAGCUCAGAGAGAAGAAACCAAACUCCUGGGCAAGAGCGUAUUUGCAUAGAACUGGCCCCAUUUCCUGGACGGGGGAAAUCACAGGGCUGGCAGGGUCCUCCGGAAGAUGUAUCAGCCAGCCCCCUGCCCCAGUGCAGGCUGCCUUGAGCAUGGCCUUCCUGGCAAAGGAGACCACCACCCCCUCCCCUGCUUUAUGGAUCCGGCAGGUCCUGGACUUUACCUGGACUGGAGGAAGUAGACCAGGAUUUAAAAGUCAUGGACUUUAGAGGUAGUCCAGAAUUCAUCCUCACUUUACAGAAACUUACAGUGCCGUUCAAGCUAGCUGUGUCCUUUUCCACAACCUCUGCACACCUGCUGUUCUGGAACGUCUAAAUGCUUUCUAAUGGCUCAGUCCCACCGCCCCCCUGAGUUUCAGUAAAUGACUUUUCUGAACUACAGAAAAGUGAAAACCGUCUGGAAGGAACUUCUGCAGAGACUUCUUCACCACCAGGUAUCUCUUUCUGCUCCUGGCCUCUGAUUGUUUCUUCCCUCCUCUCGCAGAGGAGUACUCCAAAUGUCAAGCUGAGGAGUUUGGACUGUGACCUGUAAGAAAGGGCCACCAGUUUGGGGUUUUGAUCCAAGGGCACAGGGACUGACAUUGUGAAUACAGGUUACCUCUUCCUUUGAGACUAGAGAGAAGGGUGAAGGGUGGGUCAAGGUCCUGGGCUGCUAGUGACCUUCCUGAUCCUGAGAGUGGCCAUGAAAUGAAAAAGGAUGUCCCAGAGAGAUAGAACAACGGGAGAAGACUUGACAGAAUUUGGUGGUUUUGUUGACAUGUCAGUGGAUGGAACGUAGGGUAAGGGUGAAGAGUGAAGAUCAUUUUUAGCUUUUUAAUCUGAUUAACUGGGAGGAACACAGAAGUAAGGAAGGAAGUCAUGAGAACUCCCAGCCUUGAGGAGGAAGAGGAUGAGUUCAGUUUUGGGGCCUGUCCAGUUGGAGUGGAAAUCCCCUGCCAGCCACUGGAACUGUGGAGGUAAUGCUCUAAAGAGAGCCUAAGGCUGAAGAUAGAGAUUUGGGUAUAACUCCGGAACGAUAGUUGGAGCCAUGUAAGUGACGAAGGGUCCAGGAGCAGGACAUGGAAAGAGAACAUAAGACUGAACCUUGGGUAUUGGAGGAGGAAACAGCUGUAGGUUGGGGUGUGUAGGGGCAGUGGAAGAAGAUGAGGCUGGAAUGGCACCAGGUCCAGGUCAUAAGAGGUCUUCUGUUCCAUGGUUAGGAAUUUGGACUUGACUUAGAGACGAUGGGCAGUCUAUUGAAAGCUUAAAUCGGGAAGUGACACAGUCAGAUUUGUGUUUCAGAGAGACUGGUGUUUCUUCUUAAAUGAAGGAUUUUAUGAUCUGACAGAUUAUUAGAGGGGAGAAAGACUAGAGGUAGGCAUUAGAAGGCUGCUGUAGUAAUCCUGGUGAGAGGUGAUGGGGUCCUGGACCACUGGCAUGACGAUGAGAUAGAGAGGAAGGGAGUGGGAUAUAUGUGAUUUAGAAAGUAGAUGCAUUGAUUAGAUAAGGGAGAUGGGGUGAGGAAGAAUGAAGUCUAGGAUUGCUGCCAUGUUUCCUCUUGAGUCAAACCAUUUUGUUCACCUGCAGAUUAGUGUUCCUAAAAUUCUGCUCUACCUUUGUCUCCCCUCUGCUCAAGAAACCUUCAUUUACUCUCCAUUGCCUUCAGAGCUGACCAUGAAUGGGCACAGCUCUAUAUUUACUCCAGGUCUUCCCCCACCACAAACGCUACGCUUACCUUCAGCCCAGUGCACCCCCCCACCCCCGCCAUGGGGGCUAUUUGAAAUGGACAUUUACCCAUCAUAGGGCGUUUAGAGGCUGAACUGAACUAAAAUGUCAAGUGCCUUUCCUCUUUUUCCCCCCACUAUGUAUAUCAACUGAAUAUGAUAAUACUGGUUACUGAUUAGUAGUUAAAUGUCUACGA